UACGGAGGGUGCAAGCGUUAAUCGGAAUUACUGGGCGUAAAGCGUGCGUAGGUGGUUCGUUAAGUCUGAUGUGAAAGCCCUGGGCUCAACCUGGGAAUGGCAUUGGAGACUGGCGACCUAGAGUGCGGUAGAGGGCAGUGGAAUUCCCGGUGUAGCAGUGAAAUGCGUAGAGAUCGGGAGGAACAUCUGUGGCGAAGGCGACUGCCUGGACCAGCACUGACACUGAGGCACGAAAGCGUGGGGAGCAAACAGG
rnacentral:rRNA from 1 species